GUUGUGCUGUCUUCUGCAAGCCUGGAUGAAGGAGAAGAAUUGGCAUGACUGUGUGUAACCAGGGGGACAUAGCUCUAAUGGGUCAACUUUCACUAGCUGAAAACAUGUCCAUACAGUAUAUGCUUGCGUGGUGUGGUGAUGUCUGACCGGGAAGACCAGACAAAGUACUGGUGUUGAAUUUGCUGACAAGCGUCAGAGUCAAUUUUGGGACUUCGCCCCUGCGCCAUGUCUGCAGCACUGGCAUUUUCAGUUUUGGUCUCCCUAUUUUGACCUGGCCACAAGCUCCACUUCAUAUUACACAUAAAAAAUGCUUUUCAGUCAACGUAAUAAUGGCAUGCGCUGGCUGCAGACCUGAUCGGCAGUAACUCCUGCAAGCAAAACAUAAAAAAACACAUUAAAUAUU